GAUGAAGAACGUAGCGAAACGCGAUAAGUAAUGUGAAUUGCAGAAUCCAGUGAAUCAUCGAAUCUUUGAACGCACAUUGCGCCCGCCAGCAUUCUGGCGGGCAUGCCUGUUCGAGCGUCAUUUCAACCCUCGACCUCCCCUUGGGGAGGUCGGCGUUGGGGACCGGCAGCACACCGCCGGCCCUGAAAUGGAGUGGCGGCCCGUCCGCGGCGACCUCUGCGCAGUAAUACAGCUCGCACCGGGACCCCGACGCGGCCACGCCGUAAAACACCCAACUUCUGAACGUUGACCUCGAAUCAGGUAGGACUACCCGCUGAACUUAAGCAUAUAAUAAGCGGAGGA
rnacentral:misc_RNA from 1 species